GGAGUUAGCCGGGGUUUCGUUUACCAGGUACUGUCAUUAUCAUCCCUGGCGAAAGUGCUUUACGACCCUAGGGCCUUCAUCACACACGCGGCAUGGCUAGAUCAGGCUUGCGCCCAUUGUCUAAGAUUCCCCA
rnacentral:rRNA from 1 species